UAGUAUAAUUAUUUGGGAUAAACGGGUCAAAAUUGGCCACCAUCACAGCCACUAUCAAAUGAAUCGAUACUUUCUUCUUCUUCUUCUUCUUCAUUGACUAUAGAUUUAGUUCUACAGUAUAUUCUCACAAACGAGCCCUAAAUCUAUAUGUAUUUAAGUUUAUGGUUUUAUUUUGUAAAUUGUUGUUCUAUUCUCAAAUGGUGUGUAGUAUGUGUAAUUUUUGUAGGUUGUCAAAUCAUCAUUUUUGCUGGAUUUUUGGUUUCUCUUAAAUAAAAAACUCGAAUUAAUUUGUUUAUUGUGACCUUUUCAUGUUCAGGUUCUUUGACUAUGUGUAUGGAACGAUUUCGGGCCUUAAAUCUCACGACGAUGAACAAAGGUAACAGAGUAACGAGCAUUAUCGGUUUUUGUGUUUUAUUACUGUUUUUUUUUUGUUCUUUUGAUAGCUUAAAUUUAGGGCCUUCACGUGGCUGGAUCUGAAUCACAAAUAAAAGAUUGUAGCUGGAUAUGGACCUAAAUUUGUGGCUUAUUUCGACACCACAUAAAAAUGAAAGGAAAAAUCAUGGGUUGCAAUUAUCCAUAUCUAUGUUGGAACUCUCCUAUGAUUCCUCAUUUGUAACCCUUCAGUUUUGAGGAUUCAUAGGAAAGAGGUUUACAUACAAAACAAAUAUGGAGAAGUUGGAUUGUAUACAUGGGACAUACUUAAGAAAAGGUCUCAUCUAGCUAAUGGUCAAUUAGCUUGUCAAAUAUGUAUAUUAUUAACCUUUUCUGACAUUUAUAUCAUGAUUAGAAGUGUACUGACUUUCUCAAGUGUAAAGCCCCUCUAAUUAUGUUUAUUUUUUUCUUUGUCAAAAAAAAUUGUUAUCAAUCUGAAUCUGUAAGCCAAGAUCUGAAUGUUUUACUAACAUCCACAUCUAAAUCUUCUCCAUUUUUUCAUUGUGAUUUAAGGUUCACAUUUAAAACAUUUCGAGUUUGAUUUAAUGGUGGAUAUAGGAAAGGGAUAUGAUGAUUCUUUUUGUUUCUUUUUAAUUAUCAGAAGGCCCUCUUUUCGAUACUAUAUGUUUAUUGUGUAGAAAAUCUCGGUGUCAACUAUGGAUUCAGUUGUUAACAAAAAUAUCCAUAAUGACCUAUCAUCCUGUACUAGUUUUCUAUCAUAGAUGUCAAUGUUUGUUAUUUGAUGGUGAAAGAAGAAGGCAUCUUGGUUAUUUUGUUGGUUCAAUGGAGAAAAGAGACUUAAAAAAUCUACUUAGAUUUGUACGUAUACACUCUCUUGAGCCUUGACCAUUCAUUUGUGUAUCUCUUUCUUUUACUUUUUGUUGACCAUAGGGUCAAGUUGAAAAUUUAUUUGCCUUCAGUUGGAUGUACUUGUGAAACUUGAUUCUGAU